GAAUGCUGGGUCAUUUUAUUCUGUGCCGUAUGAGGUAGGAAUCCGAACCUCGGACAAUCUGCUGUUGUUUCACCAGUCUAACGAGAAUAUUAUUAAUUUGUUUAAAAAUUCACGUGUUUAAUUUUAAUCUCAUAAUUAGUAACGCGUUAGAUGCACAACUUUGAAGCUACGGGAUUCAUUAUGGUAAACAUUUAAAGUCUUCUGAUAGCUUGAAUCAUGCCAAACUUUGUACAGGACUAAAACUGUUAUUUUUGCUAACUCAGAAGAUUUCUGAAUCUGUUACUUAGAAUUCUGUGGACUGUUCAGUACAUGUUGUAGCUCGGAUUUUGUCAAAUGCCAGCCUUGCGUUCUUUGCAAUGUACAAGAGUCUGGAUUUGGAACACGUAAAUUGUCUCAGAGGCAGCCAGGCAGUUCGGUUUCGAUAGAAAAUUUCGUUGGGAGUGAAUUUAAAAGUGUGUGAGCUCCAUGUGAUGGCGUCCAGUGGCAGGAGAUCAUCUCGAGGCACCUUACCCUUCAUGCCAAGGAUUUCCGUUACUACAGGCAACAACAGAUGACGCAGCGGAACAAAGUCGUUUCAUUUCGGAGUCUGAGGUUCGACAUCGACCAGGAAAAGACAGUCCCUACAGGAGGCAGACGAGAAUUACAGAUUUCUUUCGAGCAAUGAGGAGUGAUAACCAGGGCAAGAGGACGUCUUCUACAGAGAUCGUCGCGUAGUGGCCGUCGCUGACACCAGAAGCAGCCAAUCAGCCUGUCCGUAACAGUUUGUGCUGCUGAAACAAAAAUCACUUAAAAUAUCAAAUUACUGAUUUACGUUUCGUUCCGUGUGAGGAAAGGAUGUUAAAUAUUUACUAGAAAAAUUAAAUAUGUGUAAAUAGCUAGAAUUGUAUGGCCUGUAAGAAUGGUUCACUGGUUCAAUAUCCUAUGUGUUCAGGGUACGAUAAUGUGAAUAUUAAAAUGUUAUGCUUAUUGUGAUUAUUACUAUUAUUUUUA